CGGCUGCAGCUGCCCAAAGCCCCGCCCACGGGCUCCGCCGCGCGUGCGCGACCGCGCCCCCAUCCGCCUGGGGGUCAGCCGUACGACGUGUCCGCCGUCACCCCGCGCAAAGCCUGUCGGUCCCGCUGCUCAGCCCCCGGGUAGGAGCCACGCGCCGGCCUCCGGUGGAGGGCCCCGUUCCCCAGCUACCGGCCCUUUUCGGAAAUCGGGGGGAAGCUGCAGCACCCAGUAACCGCCUGUAUUGCGGAGGAAAAACAGAAGGUUGUGCCCGAGCACAGGAGAAACUGCAGCCGCCCGCAGCCGUCGGGCCCUGCCUGCGGGACUCCCUGAGCUCGCGGGCCGCUGGGGACUGUAGUCUUUGUGACGCGCCCCCCAGCACUCUCCACGCCUCCACUCCUGUCUUUGAACUACGUAUAAACCCCUCGUUUAUAUGAACAUUCUAGGGCUAAACUGAAGUAUAAAUAAAAGGUGUAUGUUGAAUUAAUUUACAUGCAUCAAGUACCUACUGUGGACUUGAGUACUUUAUAAUUGGUUACGUAGGGACUUCUCCGGUGGCGCAGUGGUUAAGAAUCCACCUACCAAUGUAGGGGACAGGGGUUCAAUCCCUGGUCUGGGAAGAUCCCACAUGCCACGGAGCAACUAAGCCCAUGUGCCACAACUAGUGAGCCUGUGCUCUAGAGCCCGCGAGCCACAACUACUGAGCCCACACGCUGCAACUACUCAAGCCCGCAUGCCCUAGAGCCCGUGCACUGCAACUACUGAAGCCGAGGCGCCUAGAGCCCGUGCUCCGCAACAAGAGAAGCCACCGCAAUGAGAAGCCCGCGCACCGCAACGAAGAGUAGUCCCCGCUCUCCGCAACUAGAGAAAGCCCGCGUGCAGCAACAAAGACCCAACAAAGCCCAA